AUCAGCUAUAGGAUCAGUAAACAGAUCAGUGCGGCUCAGGCGUUAUUCGCUUUCGGUUUCUUCCGGCAAACGGACGCUGAAUACGUAUUGUUUCUGUUGAUUGUUUACUCUCAGUCGAUUUAAUGACACAAACUGAGAACUGUUAGCCCGGCAACAAUGUUGGGAGAGGGCAGAGGGGUAUGCUCUUUGAAGUGGAUCUCCAUCCUCAGAUUUAUUUCUGGGAAAUGAGUUCUAGCCAAUCAGCGGAAUAUUACGGGCAUUAUAAACAGGCGUCGCAGCUGAGAACCAUAAUUCAAUCGAAUAAUAGUGGAAUGUUUUCUCAGGCAUUCGGACGAUAAAAGUGUUCCAUUGCGCGUUGGCUUUAUAGAAUUUCCCCAAUUGCGUUCUAAUUUCGCCCGUCUCUCGGCAGAAGGAUUCGAAAAAGCUACAGUUACCGUUCACAGAAGGUGUGGCACGACAUAUGUAUGUACAUAUGUAUGUAUGCGUGACUAAUGUCGCAGGUGACGUGACGUCGAGGGACCUCCGGUCCCCAGAUUGGUUCGCCCAUGGAUGUAUGAAUUAUUAAUAGGACAAAAAUGUGUGUGGAUUCAAAAUUCUUUGCAAUUAUUUCGAUUCCCUCUCUCUCUGUCCCUACAGAGAGUCAAAUCAAUUAAAUUUGAUAUAAUUUGCCAACUGUUUUGCUUUUGUGGUUACAAAACAAUUUCUAUUCGAAAUACUUGAGUUUUCAAAUAUGAAAGACCAUUCUAGCGCUGCUCUGCCGGGCAUAAUCCACAUAAUUCCCCUUACUUUUUUGGUUCUGGGCCAAGUUUUCCCUCUGCCAGAGACGCUCCAAAGUUCAAGGACGCCUCCAGUCGAGGAUGGCAGCAGCAACAACCGAAUAAUGGAGGAGUAGUUUCUGGGGAAAUCAAAUCUCAUUUGCAUAGAUAGAAGCUUUGGCAUGAGUCUAAGUUUAAGUUAUUAUCACGAACGAAGGUCGUCAUCAUCGAAUAAUCAAUAUUUACUCUUGCUUAAUGCAGGCCAGGGGCUGGGCUUUUUCGCCAGAGGAAAUUUAUUGGAAAAGCGAAAUAUGUAGCAGCCGAGCAGCAGAGCAGCGGAGGCUAUCUUAUCACUCGACACUCGGCGGCGGGCUGGGCCGGGCUGCCAUAAAUAAUCUGAACGAACAAAAUGAAUUGCCUGGAAGGCGAUUUUCGCUGCCCGGGUGCUAUUCCGAUUUAUGACAUUCGCCAACUUAUUUGCUAAUUAAUUAUCAAUUUUAUAUGACAGCAAGAGACUUGAGAUUGCGGGGGGAUAACCAAUUAGUCGAGGAAAUACAUUAUAUUGUUGAAGUUUCGACCUAAACUUCGGAAUUGUCGAGUGCUGUGCACUAGAUGGCACAUGGAGCGCCCCAAACGGAAAGCUGAACCCCCAAUCUGCGACUUGGUUCCAGUUUCAAUUGCCUCUCAUCGGGUUGCAUAGCUUUGCUUGAUAUGUUGUGCUAAUUGCCGAUACAUCUACGACCCUACCAGAGCUGCCACAAUCAGACACUGGCACGUGGCACGUGGCACUUUGGAAUCAAUAUACCGUGGACCUUGACUUGAUUGUGAUUCUCUUUGGAUCGGUUUUGUUUUGCUUCUGUCUGUUUGUUCCGGUUAAGGGAACAACAAUCGAGCAAAACAAGACCAGACCCACCACAGCAACAGGAGGAUUACAAGUUUAAGCAGAAAUACUCUGACAUUAACGGGUUGCGACCUGAAGAGACCACAGACUCGCGCAAUAGUUCGACAAUCGAUGGGACAAGGAAAGACACACAAGUUUACACAAGUUUUUGUUAUUUAUUUGUUAUGAGGUUUGAUAAAACCACUUUCUUCUUAUCCGUGUUCAAUUAAUGCCCAACAAUGAAAACCAAAAGCCGACAAAGUUCUAGCCUAAAAUGCCAGUCUGAUAUUCCCGGGAAAACAAAAAAAUAAUAAUACAAAUAAAACUAAAAACAAAUCAACUGACACAGUCCCCAAAAAUUACCUUUACAUUCAGUUAGCUUUCAUUCAGGAGGGUGGAAUAAGUAGGAUGGGACGGGA